AUGAGGAUGGUGAUGAGGGUCAUGUAUAAAUGUAAUUUAUUAAUACUGGAAAGCAGCAUUUCAACCAAAAACUGGUUGCUGACAGUGCAGGAGGUUUUUGUACGGCCUCUUAAUGACUUUGUAUCACUGUGGUGGACUUUUGGUGGAGGAACCAAACUCACCGUUGACUUGGGUGUGGUGCGGCCCACCCUGACCGUCCUCCCCCCCUCCAAAGAGGAGGAGCAGCAGAGCAGCGUCACACUGGUGUGUCUGGCCAGCGGAGGCUUCCCCUCAACCUGGAGGCUGGGCUGGAAGGUGGGGGGCAGCAGCAGGUCCUCAGGGGUGUCUAACAGCCUGGAGGUCCUGGGGAGGGACGGCCUCUACAGCUGGAGCAGCACCCUGAGCCUCCCUGCAGACCAGUGGAGGAAGGCGGGCUCAGUGAGCUGUGAGGCCAAUCAGAGUGGACAGAGUCCUGUCACUCAAAGCCUGGACCCUGCCCGCUGCUCAGAGUAGAGCCUCAGCUUCAUGUCUGCAAGUCAGGAUGCUCUCAGAGUUUAUUCAGCAAGAUUACUUUUCAUAUUUACAGUGAUUUCUAUUUCUAUCAUCUUUGUUCUGUGUGAAACCUUCAAGUUAAUGUCUAAAAAUUUCCCCAUUGUAGAACAAUCAAAUAAUUUCUUAUCUUGUAAUCACCUUUAAUAAACCUCAAAUUCAACACA